GCCCUAUUCAUCAUCUCCUGUCUAAAAUCUGAAUAAUUCUCACCCAACUGCUCCUCCAUCCCUUUUCCAGAGUUAAGGCCACACCUCCUUGACAUUGAGAAAUCAAGCAGGAGCUUGAAAACAUCAGAAUUCUUGCUCCUGGCUGCAGCAUACAGUAUAUCAGUAACACCAUAUUCUCCUUCGCCAAAAACAAGAAGAGGACCUCUCUCCAACAAUUCCUUGACGAAGCUCACAUCACCAGCUGAGGCAGCAGUGUACAGG
rnacentral:misc_RNA from 1 species